AACGAACGCUGGCGGCAGGCUUAACACAUGCAAGUCGAACGCUCCUAGCAAUAGGGGAGUGGCAGACGGGUGAGUAACGCGUGGGAAUCUACCCAGCCCUUCGGAAUAGCUCCGGGAAACUGGAAUUAAUACCGAGUACGCCCUACGGGGAAAGGAUUUAUCGGGUUGGAGUGAGCCCGCGUUGGAUUAGCUAGUUGGUGAGGUAAUGGCCCACCAAGGCGACGAUCCAUAGCUGGUCUGAGAGGAUGAUCAGCCACACUGGGACUGAGACACGGCCCA
rnacentral:rRNA from 1 species